rnacentral:lncRNA from 1 species
UAUGGGGUCUCUGUGGGUCUGAAUGGGGCACAGUGAGGUGUCUAUGGGGCACGGAGUGGACGCUGUGGGGUCUAUGGGGCCUCUGUGGGUCUGAAUGGGGCUCGGUGGGGUUUAUGGGGUCUCUGUGGGUCUGAAUGGGGCACAGUGGGGUCUCUAUGGGUCUGAACGGGGCACCGUGGGGUCGCUGGGGGGCACAGUGGGGUCUAUGGGGUCUCUAUGGGGCACAGUGGGGUCUGUGGGGUCUGUAUAGGCCACAGAGGAGUCGCUGUGGGGCACAGUGGGAUCGCUGCGCCACCCGCAACCUGUACCACCUGAAGGUCGUCGAGUACGAGCGGCAGCAUCAGUGCCGGGGGGGGGCAGGUGGGUGCCCCAUAGCUGCCCCAUAACCACCCCCAAACCGCCCUAUAGCUGCCCCAUAACCCCACGGCCACGUGACCCCCGUGUGCCCCAUAUCUGCCCCAUAACUGUGCCAUAACCCCAUG